UUGGGGAAGAAGGAUUUCUUUUAAAUUGUGGUUUAGGCUAUAAUGCUAGGACUGAGGUGCUUAUAUUUAUGAUAUUUUAAGCAUAAGCCAUAAACAAAUCAUAUAUACUUUCCCCUGAUACCAACAAAUACUGACCACAAUGUCUCAUUUGUUUGCUCCCUGUUACCUAAUUAUAUUCCUCAAAGUCGACUUCCUGGCAGGAUGUGAGUUAGAAGCCCUGGCUGCCUCUCCAUCUUCGAGCCUGACCCCCUGGCCCGUUCUCCUUGGCGCUGUGCAGAGCUGAGCUGGUGGUUAGUAGAAGAGGGCUGCCGAGAUCAGGCUGCUUUUAGGAGUGAUACAAUGCCCAUGGGGCAGCACAGACCAGCCUAACCUUGCGGAUGUGGGAGAAUGUGAAGAAAUCUGAGAGUCUGAGAAAAUCAAGAAUGCAGAAAUCCUGAGAUCCAGAAUAGGAGGACGUGGUGCUGUGGAUGGAGAAGAAAGGAGAGCGUGAUGGAGAGGCUUUUGCUACCGAAAUGGCAGAGCUGGAAUAUGAAAGGAACCUACCCCAUGGAAGCCGGACGGCAGGAGAAUUGUCUGCCUGUGUGUGAGGAGUAAAGCUUUGUUGUGUCAGCUCCUGAAACCCUCAGGAUGACUUGUCACCGCAGCGUCUCUCUUCUGCCCUGACUAUUACAUUAUUAUACGAACUAGAAGUAAUCAUGUAGAUCAAGAUUUUAAAAUAAACACAAUAAAGCACUUCAAAGGAAUGACAGAAUGAAGUUAUGAAGGAGAAUGUGCCGGAGAUACUGAUUAUAUUAAAAAAUAGCAGUUAAAAGAAACUUGACAGAUGGGAUACAAACGAAAGAGAAAUGUGAAAAAAUUUAUAUGCCAGACCAACAAAGAGUGGUGCUAUCUUUACAGCUCAUCAACAGUAGUGAUCGCAUUAUUUCUGCUACACACAUAGGAAGUGUGUAGAUGGGGAAGCAGUUAGUGAACUGCACUGUCAGAACCCAGAAGGCAAAUUUCUCCUUCAGCCUAAGAAAGUCCAGCUUACUAAGGGUUCCAGAUCCUUGCCAGGCUCGUAGCCCCAGUAAUUCUCUAAACAGAUCACUUUUCGUUGACUUACAAACUGUUGUUUCAAGCUUUCAGUUUGUUUACUAAACUCAAAUGUAUUGUAUGUAUUUAUAUCUAAAAUGAAAUAAAUCCAAAACUUCUUAA